UACGGGGGGUGCGAGCGUUGUCCGGAAUCACUGGGCGUAAAGGGCGCGUAGGUGGCUUGGCAAGCGCGUGGUGAAAGCCCGGGGCUCAACCCCGGGUCUGCCGUGCGAACUGCUAUGGCUUGAGCACUGUAGAGGCAGGUAGAAUUCCGGGUGUAGCGGUGGAAUGCGUAGAGAUCCGGAAGAAUACCGGUGGCGAAAGCAGCUCUCUGGGACGGUACUGACGCUGAGGCGCGAAAGCGUGGGGAGCAAACAGG
rnacentral:rRNA from 1 species